GGCUUGAAACAGGCUUUGGCAGCUGUUGUGAUCCCUUGGGCGCAAGGUGCUGCUUGUUGCGAGCCAAGUGAUUUUAAUUUCAGUGUCAUGGGACAAGGGAACGGAUUCCCGUGGGAGAGGAAGGGGAUCUGUUCCAGCAGUGGGAACGUGGAGGAGCCCCUGAGUCUCCGGGAGGGAGGAGUGUCCCCCCAUCCAGAGGUGCCUGGGGAUACAGACCGAAGGAUGCACAGAACAGUCCUGGGCAAGCUGUGUGUACUCCAUCCAGUGUGUGUCCUGGUGGUGGCUGUGCUGGUGGCUCUGGUCCUGGCUCUGGCCGUGGCUGUUGCUGUGCUCUCAGGUAAGGGAGGAGCGGCUGCCUCCUUCCCUGCCCCACGGAGCUGUGUCCCCUGGUCCCUGCGCAGCCCAAUCCUCUGCCCUUCUCCCCUUCCCUCUCCAGCAAGAACAUGUGGAGGGGAUCCAGCUGUGCCUGUGGCUCCGGUGCUGGCGUGUCCUGAUGGCUGGGUCGGGUACCGCAAUGUCUGCUACUACCUCUCGAGGGACCAGGGGAGCUGGGAGUGGAGCCAGGAGCAGUGCUCCUCGCGUGGGGCCUCGCUGGCCGUGCUGAGGAGGGAGUGGGAAAUGGUGAGUGAGGGGCUGCUGUGGGUGCGUGGGGGUUUGGUGGAGUUCCUGGGUUGGGCACAGAGUGUGGGGUGGGAGCAGAGCUGUGUCAGAGCAGGACCGAGAGCACUGGGUGGGCUGGUGAUCUCCUGCAGCAGCUCUGGAGCUUGUUGGAGCAGGCGUGGGGUGGGAGCUGCUGCCAUCCCAGGGCUGGUGGUAGCCGUGUGGGGGCAGGGAUACCUGUAA
rnacentral:lncRNA from 1 species